rnacentral:misc_RNA from 1 species
GAUGAAGAACGCAGCGAAAUGCGAUAAGUAAUGUGAAUUGCAGAAUUCAGUGAAUCAUCGAAUCUUUGAACGCACAUUGCGCCCUCUGGUAUUCCGGGGGGCAUGCCUGUUCGAGCGUCAUUAUAACCACUCAAGCUCUCGCUUGGUAUUGGGGUUCGCGGUUCCGCGGCCCCUAAAAUCAGUGGCGGUGCCUGUCGGCUCUACGCGUAGUAAUACUCCUCGCGAUUGAGUCCGGUAGGUCUACUUGCCAGCAACCCCCAAUUUUUACAGGUUGACCUCGGAUCAGGUAGGGAUACCCGCUGAACUUAAGCAUAUCAAUAAGGAGGA